rnacentral:rRNA from 1 species
UGGGGAAUCUUAGACAAUGGGGGAAACCCUGAUCUAGCCAUGCCGCGUGAGUGAUGAAGGCCCUAGGGUCGUAAAGCUCUUUCGCCAGGGAUGAUAAUGACAGUACCUGGUAAAGAAACCCCGGCUAACUCCGUGCCAGCAGCCGCGGUAAUACGGAGGGGGUUAGCGUUGUUCGGAAUUACUGGGCGUAAAGCGCGCGUAGGCGGACUAUUAAGUCAGGGGUGAAAUCCCGGGGCUCAACCCCGGAACUGCCUUUGAUACUGGUAGUCUAGAGUUCGAGAGAGGAGAGUGGAAUACCCAGUGUAGAGGUGAAAUUCGUAGAUAUUGGGCGGAACACCGGUGGCGAAAGCGGCUCUCUGGCUCGAACCUGACGCUGAGGCACGAAAGCGUGGGGAGCAAACAGGAUUAGAUACCCCCGUAGUCC